rnacentral:rRNA from 1 species
AGAGUUUGAUCCUGGCUCAGAACGAACGCUGGCGGCAGGCUUAACACAUGCAAGUCGAACGCACCUUCGGGUGAGUGGCAGACGGGUGAGUAACGCGUGGGAACGUGCCCUUCAGUUCGGAAUAACCCAGGGAAACUUGGGCUAAUACCGGAUACGUGCGAGAGCAGAAAGAUUUAUCGCUGAAGGAUCGGCCCGCGUCUGAUUAGCUAGUUGGUGGGGUAAUGGCCCACCAAGGCGACGAUCAGUAGCUGGUCUGAGAGGAUGAUCAGCCACAUUGGGACUGAGACACGGCCCAAACUCCUACGGGAGGCAGCAGUGGGGAAUAUUGGACAAUGGGCGCAAGCCUGAUCCAGCCAUGCCGCGUGAGUGAUGAAGGCCUUAGGGUUGUAAAGCUCUUUCGUCCGGGACGAUAAUGACGGUACCGGAAGAAGAAGCCCCGGCUAACUUCGUGCCAGCAGCCGCGGUAAUACGAAGGGGGCUAGCGUUGUUCGGAAUCACUGGGCGUAAAGGGCGCGUAGGCGGCCUGAUAAGUCGGGGGUGAAAGCCUGUGGCUCAACCACAGAAUUGCCUUCGAUACUGUCGGGCUUGAGACCGGAAGAGGUAAGUGGAACUGCGAGUGUAGAGGUGAAAUUCGUAGAUAUUCGCAAGAACACCAGUGGCGAAGGCGGCUUACUGGUCCGGUUCUGACGCUGAGGCGCGAAAGCGUGGGGAGCAAACAGGAUUAGAUACCCUAGUAGUCC